AGAGUUUGAUCCUGGCUCAGGAUAAACGCUGGCGGCGUGCUUUAUGCAUGCAAGUCUAACGGUCACGAUUUAUCGCGAUAGUGGCGAAUGGGUGCGUAACGCGUAAGUAACCUGCCCUUAAGUGGGGGAUAACUCUGAGAAAUUGGAGCUAAUACCGCAUGUGGUGGCAGAAUUUGUUUUUUGUCACUAAAGUCGCAAGACGCUUGGGGAGGGGCUUGCGUCCGAUUAGCUAGUUGGUAGGGUAAUGGCUUACCAAGGCGGUGAUCGGUAGCUGGUCUGAGAGGAUGGUCAGCCACACUGGGACUGAGACACGGCCCAGACUCCUACGGGAGGCAGCAGCAAGGGAUUUUGUGCAAUGGGCGAAAGCCUGACACAGCGACGCCGCGUGGGGGAAGAAGGCCUUCGGGUUGUAAACCCCUUUUCUCAGGGAGGAAUAAUGACAGUACCUGAGGAAUAAGCCACGGCUAACUACGUGCCAGCAGCCGCGGUAAUACGUAGGUGGCGAGCGUUAUCCGGAUUUAUUGGGCGUAAAGAGGGCGCAGGCGGCUUUUCAAGUCGGGUGUAAAAUCUCCUGGCUUAACCAGGAGGGAUCAUGCGAUACUGUUAAGCUAGAGUGCAACAGAAGGAGGUAGAAUUCCCGGUGUAGUGGUGAAAUGCGUAGAUAUCGGGAGGAAUACCAGUGGCGAAGGCGGCCUCCUAGGUUGUUACUGACGCUUAAGCCCGAAGGUGUGGGGAGCGAACAGGAUUAGAUACCCUGGUAGUCC
rnacentral:rRNA from 1 species